rnacentral:rRNA from 1 species
GUUUGAUCCUGGCUCAGGAUGAACGCUAGCGGCAGGCUUAACACAUGCAAGUCGAGGGGUAUAGUUCUUCGGAACUAGAGACCGGCGCACGGGUGCGUAACGCGUAUGCAAUCUACCUUUCACAGAGGGAUAGCCCAGAGAAAUUUGGAUUAAUACCUCAUAGUAUGUAUGAAUGGCAUCAUUUAUACAUUAAAGUCACAACGGUGAAAGAUGAGCAUGCGUCCCAUUAGCUAGAUGGUAAGGUAACGGCUUACCAUGGCAACGAUGGGUAGGGGUCCUGAGAGGGAGAUCCCCCACACUGGUACUGAGACACGGACCAGACUCCUACGGGAGGCAGCAGUGAGGAAUAUUGGACAAUGGGCGCAAGCCUGAUCCAGCCAUGCCGCGUGCAGGAUGACGGUCCUAUGGAUUGUAAACUGCUUUUGUACAGGAAGAAACACUGGUUCGUGAACCAGCUUGACGGUACUGUAAGAAUAAGGGUCGGCUAACUCCGUGCCAGCAGCCGCGGUAAUACGGAGGAUCCAAGCGUUAUCCGGAAUCAUUGGGUUUAAAGGGUCCGUAGGCGGUUUAGUAAGUCAGUGGUGAAAGCCCAUCGCUCAACGGUGGAACGGCCAUUGAUACUGCUAAACUUGAAUUAUUAGGAAGUAACUAGAAUAUGUAGUGUAGCGGUGAAAUGCUUAGAGAUUACAUGGAAUACCAAUUGCGAAGGCAGGUUACUACUAAUGGAUUGACGCUGAUGGACGAAAGCGUGGGUAGCGAACAGGAUUAGAUACCCUGGUAGUCCACGCCGUAAACGAUGGAUACUAGCUGUUGGGCGCAAGUUCAGUGGCUAAGCGAAAGUGAUAAGUAUCCCACCUGGGGAGUACGCUCGCAAGAAUGAAACUCAAGGAAUUGACG